GACGAACCGUGCGAACGUUGUUCGGAAUCACUGGGCUUAAAGGGCGCGUAGGCGGCUUGCCAAGUCAGGGGUGAAAUCCAGCAGCUUAACUGUUGAAGUGCCCUUGAUACUGGCGAGCUCGAGGGAGGUAGGGGUAUGCGGAACUUCUGGUGGAGCGGUGAAAUGCGUUGAUAUCAGAAGGAACGCCGGUGGCGAAAGCGGCGUACUGGACCUCUUCUGACGCUGAGGCGCGAAAGCUAGGGGAGCAAACGGG
rnacentral:rRNA from 1 species